rnacentral:misc_RNA from 1 species
GGAUCAAUAUGCUGGUCGUGCCUUUGGUACGUACUGGCAUUAUUGGUUUCUCCUUUCUGAUGAAUCACGAUGUCAUUAAUUUGGUGUCAUGGGGAAUCAGGACUGUUACUUUGAAAAAAUUAGAGUGUUUAAAGCAGGCUUACGCUUGAAUACAUUAGCAUGGAAUAAUGAAAUAGGACGUUUAAUUCUAUUUUGUUGGUUUCUAGGAUUGACGUA